CUAUGCAGGGCACGUGGCAGGCAGGCCCAGUGUCCUCUGAGCGUCACUUUCAAACCUGAGGCACAGCCAUUGGUCACCAAGCCCCUGGCAGGAAGGUUGUGUGCCUGAGGAGGACGAAGUUUUGUCGCCAGUCGAAGGGACAGCAAGGAGGAAAGGGAACCUCAAGCUGACAUGCCCUGCUGUGUCAAUCCCACAUCUGCGCCAGGACACAGAGUGGUCCCGGACCCCAGGCCUGCCCCAGAGAGACCUCGUGCAUGUGAUACAACCUUUGGAGGUGGCACUCAGGGCUAAGGGAGGGGUCGCUGUGGCUCCUGAGUGACAUGGCUGGGCAGCAGGCCUGCAUGCUCCCGGGAUAAGACAGCAUGGUACCUUACCCUGGUUCCAGGCAUGGCAUAGCAGGGAAUUCCAGGGCUCAUGGGUCCCAGGGCUGCCGGAACUGGAGUGGACAGGAUUUGGAUCUCCUUCCAGAACAAUCCAGGAGACUUCAAGCACAGCCGUGUGACCUGGAGGCAGGUCCUAGGGAGCGACUCUCUGGGGCCUCCCCAGGUCCUCCCCACCUUGGCCCCUCUCCCUUUUCCCUCCCUGGAAUGUUCUGCUCUGGGGUGCAGGCUGGGGUCAGUCUCUGUGCCCAUGUUUGGUGACAGCUGCCUAGCACCUUCUGUCUGUUGCAAGUUGGCUUCCUUGAGCCCUCCCAGCCCAGGCUAAGGACAGUGACUUGAGCAUGAAGUAAAUGAUCCCCCCCUGGCAUUCACCUCAAGCUCCUGUGACCUGCCACCACCCACAGCCCUAGAACAGAGGAGCAGAGAUCUUGGUGUAAGCGCCCAGCCUGUCAUGAACCAGCUAGCUCUUUCCCCUCGGAGAAAGGACACAGGGAAGCAUUUGUCAUACUUGGACAGGGAAGUGAUAUUUUGAAUAGAUAUCUUUCUUCCAGUAUGAAAAUCCAAAUUCCACUUUCUCUUUGGAGAAGGUCUCUGUCCCCUCACCUUGUAACCCACCACGUGCCUCCUCCAGCUAUCACUGAUUGUGCCCCAGUGGCUCCAGGACCCGGCAGGGUGAGCAACAGCCUUCAGUCUGGGUCAAGAGGGGAGGGAGCUGAGCGGCAGCUGCACGGACAACAAGGGCUGAGGUUGGACCAGAUGCCACAGCUUGAGGAGUGGGGAGAGGGGUACGGUGCUAUGGACUGAAUGCUAUGUCCCCCCAAACUUGUAUAUUGACACUGACGGCCCUAAUGCCUUUGUAAAAGGGAUCCCAGAGAGCUGCCUUUUCCCUUUGCCAUGUGAGGACAUGAAGAGAAGUCUGCAGUCUGCAUCCCAGAAGAGGGUCCUCGACAGGACUGGUCAGACUGGCAUAGGACCGUGGACUUCCUGCUCCAAAGCUGUAAGCAAUGCUUGUCUGCUGGUUUUAGGUCCCAAGCAGGGGCAGUUUUGUCACAGCAGUCUGAGCUAAGACAGAGGGAGGACAGAGGAAGGUGGACAAAGACAGAAACCCCUCUCUCCAUCUUCAGCUUUACCAGAGAAGCUGUCAGGAUGCCAAGGAGAGGAAGGAGGCCCAGCAUGGGGAGCCACAGGGGACACCUGAGUCAGAAGUACAGCAGGCCACCAGUUGCCCAAGGAGGGCAUCUAGGGUGGCACAGAGCUAGCACCAGGGGCCGCAGGACCCAUGACCUGCCAUCCCCCUUUACAGCGCUCCAUCUGUGCCGGGAGAACACCGAGCUCUCAGUGUCUCAGUGCCCCAGCAUGGAAGCAGUCGCACAGCCGUCUGUGGACGGUCACCCAGCACCGCCAAGGACAGGUUGUUGGUACCUGCAAUGCCCAAAAUGGCGAUGGCGACUCUUGAAGGGUAUAUAUUGUGUGAUUCUGUUCAUGUGAAUGUCUAGAACAUGCUGCCUGCCCUGAAGUAACAGCAGCCGAGUGAUGGUGGCAGUGGGGUGGGGGUGGGAGGCAGCGUGGGCAGUGGGCGGAGCCACUUCGGGUGCAUCCAUCACCUUGACCUCGGGCUACAAAUGUCAACACCUAUAACACUGUACAACUUAAAGAUGUUCAGUUCAUCGUGCAUUGGUAACACCUCAAUAAAGUUCUUAAAGAAAUAUGUCGUGGUUGGGUAUAUUGGCCUAGGCCUGUAAUCCCAGCUGUCUGGGAGGCUGAGGCAGGAGGAUAGCAGACAGUAAGCCUGG